GGGAAUAUUGGACAAUGGGCGCAAGCCUGAUCCAGCCAUGCCGCGUGAGUGAUGACGGCCCUAGGGUUGUAAAGCUCUUUUACCUGGGAAGAUAAUGACGGUACCAGGAGAAUAAGCCCCGGCUAACUUCGUGCCAGCAGCCGCGGUAAUACGAAGGGGGCUAGCGUUGUUCGGAUUUACUGGGCGUAAAGCGCACGUAGGCGGACGCUUAAGUCAGGGGUGAAAUCCCGAGGCUCAACCUCGGAACUGCCUUUGAUACUGGGUGUCUUGAGUCCGGGAGAGGUGAGUGGAACUGCGAGUGUAGAGGUGAAAUUCGUAGAUAUUCGCAAGAACACCAGUGGCGAAGGCGGCUCACUGGCCCGGAACUGACGCUGAGGUGCGAAAGCGUGGGGAGCAAA
rnacentral:rRNA from 1 species